GAAGAGUUUGAUCAUGGCUCAGAUUGAACGCUGGCGGCAGGCCUAACACAUGCAAGUCGAACGGUAACAGGAAGCAGCUUGCUGCUUUGCUGACGAGUGGCGGACGGGUGAGUAAUGUCUGGGAAACUGCCUGAUGGAGGGGGAUAACUACUGGAAACGGUGGCUAAUACCGCAUAACGUCGCAAGACCAAAGAGGGGGACCUUCGGGCCUCUUGCCAUCAGAUGUGCCCAGAUGGGAUUAGCUUGUUGGUGAGGUAACGGCUCACCAAGGCGACGAUCCCUAGCUGGUCUGAGAGGAUGACCAGCCACACUGGAACUGAGACACGGUCCAGACUCCUACGGGAGGCAGCAGUGGGGAAUAUUGCACAAUGGGCGCAAGCCUGAUGCAGCCAUGCCGCGUGUAUGAAGAAGGCCUUCGGGUUGUAAAGUACUUUCAGCGGGGAGGAAGGUGUUGUGGUUAAUAACCGCAGCAAUUGACGUUACCCGCAGAAGAAGCACCGGCUAACUCCGUGCCAGCAGCCGCGGUAAUACGGAGGGUGCAAGCGUUAAUCGGAAUUACUGGGCGUAAAGCGCACGCAGGCGGUCUGUCAAGUCGGAUGUGAAAUCCCC
rnacentral:rRNA from 1 species